rnacentral:miRNA from 1 species
CCCUGCCCUUACCAUAUCCAAG